UACGUAGGGUGCAAGCGUUGUCCGGAAUUAUUGGGCGUAAAGAGCUCGUAGGCGGCCUGUCGCGUCGGUUGUGAAAGCCCGGGGCUUAACCCCGGGUCUGCAGUCGAUACGGGCAGGCGUAGAGUUCGGUAGGGGAGAUCGGAAUUCCUGGUGUAGCGGUGAAAUGCGCAGAUAUCAGGAGGAACACCGGUGGCGAAGGCGGAUCUCUGGGCCGAUACUGACGCUGAGGAGCGAAAGCGUGGGGAGCGAACAGG
rnacentral:rRNA from 1 species